GAGCAUGUAGCUCAGUACGGAUAGAGCAGUACCGUGCCAAGGUUCAGGUCGUGGGUUCAAAUCCCUCCAUGCUCG
rnacentral:tRNA from 1 species